UGAGUAACCUGCCCUUAACUCUGGGAUAAGCCUGGGAAACUGGGUCUAAUACCGGAUAUGACUCCUCAUCGCAUGGUGGGGGGUGGAAAGCUUUAUUGUUGGUUUUUGGAUGGACUCGCGGCCUAUCGGCUUGUUGGUGAGGUAAUGGCUCACCAAGGCGACGACGGGUAGCCGGCCUGAGAGGGUGACCGGCCACACGUGGGACUGAGACACGGCCCAGACCUCCGUACGGGAGGCAG
rnacentral:rRNA from 1 species